GUGCGUGUGUGUGUGUGUAAAUUGCUACACAGGAAGUCACUCCGUCAGUCAUUAGAGGGACAGGAUGGAGCUCACUUCACUUGCUGUGAUGUUCUUGUUGGUUUCACAGAUACCAGUGGCUCAUGCAGAAGCUAAACCCAGACCGACUAUCAGAGUGAAUCCUCAGAGCUCCAUUUACACAGGAGACACCAUCACUCUGAGCUGUAAGCUGCAGGAGACGACUGGGUGGGAGUUUAUAUAUAAUAAUAAUAAUCUGCAAUUAAACCAAAAACCAGCAAACACAUUUAAAGUGACAGUCAAUAAUACAGGAGAAACAGUGUACCAGUGUCGUGCACGCAGGAAAAACAGGUUCUUCAAAUACUCCAUACACUUCAACAACUACUACUACACAGAGUGGAGUGAACCAGUCAAGAUUACAAUACAAGUAUUGUACAGAUGUACAGAAUCAGUGGUGUUGAAGUGACUCACACCUGUAGAGGAGCAGAUAGAUGAGUUUCAAUGAUGCUGUUACACUGUAAGAUAGAGACCACAGGCAGUACUGAGUGUAUCUCCACAGAACUGGCUGACUGAAGGAGACUCAGUGACUCUAAGCUGUGAGGUUACAGACUCCUCUACAGACUGGACAUUCA